rnacentral:rRNA from 1 species
UGCUGACGAGUGGCGGACGGGUGAGUAAUGCUUGGGAAUCUGGCUUAUGGAGGGGGAUAACUACGGGAAACUGUAGCUAAUACCGCGUAGAAUCGGAAGAUGAAAGUGCGGGACCGCAAGGCCGCAUGCCAUGAGAUGAGCCCAAGUGGGAUUAGGUAGUUGGUGGGGUAAGGGCCUACCAAGCCUGCGAUCUCUAGCUGGUCUGAGAGGGUGAUCGGCCACACUGGGACUGAGACACGGCCCAGACUCC